rnacentral:lncRNA from 1 species
GCAGUAGAGCAGUUCCCUGGGCCACUUCAGGAGAACAGAAAGAACACUUAACAGGAGAGACCCCUGAGGACUAUUUUUAUAUUAAUGGCUAAACUCACUGCUGAAGUCAGGUGGGAAUUUGGCCAGGACUCUGCUAAAUCUCAGGUGCUUGAUGUAGCUCCUUUUAGACAACAGGUUUUCUGAAGCAUGUAUAGGCCAACUUCACAGAAUUUGAUGGGGAGCAAAUCUUCAGCAGGAGGAGGCAAAUACCAAGAGGGGUCCUUGAUGGUCUUUGUAGAAACCAGGAGUACUAGGGUCAAACUGGAUCUUUCCACUAAAGGAGCCAAAUGAGCUUCAUGUUUCAGCUGGUUGAUGCCAAUGGCAAAGAGACCUUCAGAUGCACUUCGAGAAAGAUGUAUGAUCAAGGAGUAAUAAGCUUUUCUCCAUUAGUGUAACAAGUCAAAAUAUCAUUUAAUUUAUUUCUGAAAGUUUUUUUUUUUUCUCUUUUACUGUAACAGAUCUAGCUCAUCACUUAACUUCAUUCACCAAACAUUAUGCACUAGCAUUUUACUAUAAUUUUAGGAAGAGAAAGGAGAAGCAUUUCAGGGGUGAUUCAUUGAUAUUCCUGAAAAUAGGAUCCUUGCUUCAGGAUUCUUAAAAUGUUAAGCAAGGUGGAUACUGAAUGCAGUACAAGUGAAUAACGAGGUUACGGUCUUCUGUUGCUAUUUUAACUGCAUGUUGUACAGAUAAAUGCUUACAAAAUCCACAGAAAGCAUUUUGAAAUUUCAAAGAAGAGAUAGAAAGUAUAAUUGAUGCCACCAUUGAAGGCCAAAGAGAAGCAAUGAAAAUAGAGUAAAAUACCAGUAAAUAUUAAUGUAAUACUACUAAGAUUCUAUGACGAUCUGUGCUAUAUAUAAUUAGGGUCAUUUUCUCAUGUCAUAGAUUAUCUGCAUGAGAAAAUGCAAGUAUAUAGAUGUUAUAAUCUCUAGAUUCUUGGUUCCAUACAGAAGAAAGAAACUUAUUGUGAGUUCAGUUUUUCAGUCAUCUUAAUAACUUAUGGAUGUUAUGGUAUCUUUUUGGUCAAAAACAAGAAGUCUGGGGACAUAGAGAAGAUAAUUGACAUAAUUUAGAUUGAAAUUGGGGGGGUACUAAAGAUUAUACUGUGAAUCUAGAUAAAAUGGGCAUUUAUAUACAGUAUUACAAAAAUGAAUAAACAUAGUACAGGUAGUAUAAACA